CACGUAGGGGGCAAGCGUUGUCCGGAUUUAUUGGGCGUAAAGAGCUCGUAGGUGGCUGAGUAAGUCGGAUGUCAAAUCCCCAGGCUCAACCUGGGACACCACCCGACACUGCUCUGGCUAGAGUCCGGUAGGGGAGCGUGGAAUUCCUGGUGUAGCGGUGAAAUGCGCAGAUAUCAGGAGGAACACCAGCGGCGAAGGCGGCGCUCUGGGCCGGUACUGACGCUGAGGAGCGAAAGCGUGGGGAGCAAACAGG
rnacentral:rRNA from 1 species